AGGGUGAUGUCUUUGCAAGGGUGCUGGAAAAAUUUGUAUAGUGAGGGUACUGAGAGCAAUUUAACCAGACUGUAAACCCUGUAUAUAGUGGAAACCACUUGAAGCCAGGUGGUGUGGCAGCACACCCAGCACCCUUAGUUCCAGCAC